rnacentral:rRNA from 1 species
GACGAACGCUGGCGGCGUGCCUAAUACAUGCAAGUAGAACGCUGAAGAGAGGAGCUUGCUCUUCUUGGAUGAGUUGCGAACGGGUGAGUAACGCGUAGGUAACCUGCCUUGUAGCGGGGGAUAACUAUUGGAAACGAUAGCUAAUACCGCAUAACAAUGGAUGACACAUGUCAUUUAUUUGAAAGGGGCAAUUGCUCCACUACAAGAUGGACCUGCGUUGUAUUAGCUAGUAGGUGAGGUAACGGCUCACCUAGGCGACGAUACAUAGCCGACCUGAGAGGGUGAGCGGCCACACUGGGACUGAGACACGGCCCAGACUCCUACGGGAGGCAGCAGUAGGGAAUCUUCGGCAAUGGGGGCAACCCUGACCGAGCAACGCCGCGUGAGUGAAGAAGGUUUUCGGAUCGUAAAGCUCUGUUGUAAGUCAAGAACGAGUGUGAGAGUGGAAAGUUCACACUGUGACGGUAGCUUACCAGAAAGGGACGGCUAACUACGUG